rnacentral:rRNA from 1 species
AGGGUUCGAUUCUGGCUCAGGAUGAACGCUGGCGGCGUGCUUAACACAUGCAAGUCGAACGGGAUCCAUCGGGCUUUGCUUGGUGGUGAGAGUGGCGAACGGGUGAGUAAUGCGUGACCGACCUGCCCCAUACACCGGAAUAGCUCCUGGAAACGGGUGGUAAUGCCGGAUGCUCCAGUUGGACGCAUGUCCUUCUGGGAAAGAUUCAUCGGUAUGGGAUGGGGUCGCGUCCUAUCAGCUUGAUGGCGGGGUAACGGCCCACCAUGGCUUCGACGGGUAGCCGGCCUGAGAGGGCGACCGGCCACAUUGGGACUGAGAUACGGCCCAGACUCCUACGGGAGGCAGCAGUGGGGAAUAUUGCACAAUGGGCGCAAGCCUGAUGCAGCGACGCCGCGUGAGGGAUGAAGGCCUUCGGGUUGUAAACCUCUUUUAUCGGGGAGCAAGCGAGAGUGAGUUUACCCGUUGAAUAAGCACCGGCUAACUACGUGCCAGCAGCCGCGGUAAUACGUAGGGUGCAAGCGUUAUCCGGAAUUAUUGGGCGUAAAGGGCUCGUAGGCGGUUCGUCGCGUCCGGUGUGAAAGUCCAUCGCUUAACGGUGGAUCCGCGCCGGGUACGGGCGGGCUUGAGUGCGGUAGGGGAGACUGGAAUUCCCGGUGUAACGGUGGAAUGUGUAGAUAUCGGGAAGAACACCAAUGGCGAAGGCAGGUCUCUGGGCCGUUACUGACGCUGAGGAGCGAAAGCGUGGGGAGCGAACAGGAUUAGAUACCCUGGUAGUCCACGCCGUAAACGGUGGGUACUAGGUGUGGGUUUCCUUCCUUGGGAUCCGUGCCGUAGCUAACGCAUUAAGUACCCCGCCUGGGGAGUACGGCCGCAAGGCUAAAACUCAAAGGAAUUGACGGGGGCCCGCACAAGCGGCGGAGCAUGCGGAUUAAUUCGAUGCAACGCGAAGAACCUUACCUGGGCUUGACAUGUUCCCGACAGCCGUAGAGAUACGGUCUCCCUUCGGGGCGGGUUCACAGGUGGUGCAUGGUCGUCGUCAGCUCGUGUCGUGAGAUGUUGGGUUAAGUCCCGCAACGAGCGCAACCC